rnacentral:lncRNA from 1 species
UCAUCUUUCAUACUAUUGAAUUAGUAUUUUCAUAUGAGGUUCUAGCAGAUGAAAUAUUUCCUAUAAAACUAGUACAAAUGAAUCAUAUGGAAAACGAAAUCAUGGAUUAUGGUCCUACGAAUCAAAAAAGUUAAACAGAAAAAGUUCAUGGGGAUUGGAAUCCUCCAUUCCUCUAGAAAUCCUAUGAAUCAAAGAGGCCCUAGAUGUGUGGGCCAUGAGGUUCGGGCAUUAUUUGCCUUGAACGCCAUGCAUAAACAUUCACGGCCCAGUUUGUAUGUGUGAAUUUUCACAAACCGAACCAAACCUAGGAGAACUAUAAUGCCAGUGAUAGUCUGUUUGGCCCACUAUUAGUUGAACCGCUNNNNNNNNNNNNNNNNNNNNCGCCUUCACACACAUGUGCUUUUCUUUUUCUUAGGUCCACUAGUACAUAUGCCUGUGCGUUGCAACGGGCUCCUCAUCUCUGUUGUAAUGUCCUCACAGGACGCAGCAGCCUCGACGGGCGCGUGGUCCCAACCUCCUACUGCUUCAUCCAACAAUUCAUCCUAGGGGAAUUGUGCUAGUUCCAAACUUGAACGUCGCAAAUCUACGCAUUCACAUACACCGAUUGAUGUGUUAUCGUUCCAAAGACGACAUCUCUGCUGCUCUAGAAGGCGCUUUGAGUGUCUGCACCAACCUUUAUGAAUUGCAACUGGGCUGCAUAAGAGCUAAAUAACAAAGCAUGAACUCUAUAUGUCUAUUGUGAAGAUAAGUAUACUAAGCACAGAUUUUUUUUGACUUUUUACCUUCAUACAUCAACACAAAUUGAUGUAAACUAUCGUUGUUGUGUAGCCAUG